rnacentral:sRNA from 1 species
GGAGCAGCAACGAUGUUACGCAGCAGGGCAGUCGCCCUAAAACAAAGUUAGACAUGAUGAGCAACUCUAUACACA